UUUUCGUAUGCUCUUCUCGUGAUAGUAAGUCUCACGAGUUCGUUAUAAAAGGCAGUUCCCCUGCACAUGCUCUCUUGCCUGCUGUCAUGCAACGUGUCUUUGCUCCUCCUUCACCUUCCGCCAUGAUUGUGAGGCUUCCCCAGCCAUGUGGAAACAUAUUCGCAGAGCACCCACUAGGUGCCAGUAAAUGUAUGAGAAGUCCUGUGGAAUAAGACUGAAGUUGUCCUUGCCUUCAAGCAACUUGCAAUUGCCUAAGAACACAGUUUAAAACCACAAAACUAAGCCUUGGAAAUCACAUGCUGUCAUUUCUGCGAUCGGUCAUAACCAGUCCUGAUUCCAUGUUAGAGGAGACUACAUAAGGACACAGGUACCAGAAGCUGGAUCCACUGACCUGGAAUGCCUGGACUGAAGCAGAUGAAAAAUUUGGAGUCUAGUGAAAAGAAGUGACUUGCUCAAAAUCACACAGCACAUGAAGAACAGAGCCUCUAUGAUGAAUUUCUUGACAGGAUCCCAUUGAGGAUGCCACAUUAUGUUUCAUUGCCAUGUCUCCAUAGACUCUUCUUGGUUGUGAUGGUUUCUCACGCUUUUCUUGGUUUUGAAGACGUUGACAAUUUUCUUCCAUUGGGAUUUGCUUGAUGCUUUUCUCAUGAUUACACUGGAACUGUGACUUUUUAGAAGGAAGAUCAUAGAGGUAAAGUGUCAUUUUUAUUGCAUAUAAAGCUUAUUAUUAACAUAACUUCUUACCACCGUUGAAGAUUUUCAGGUUCCCUUACUGUAAUUCUUUUGUUUUUUCAAAUUGUAAUCUUUGGAAGGAAAAGUCACUGCGUACAGUCUACACUUAAGGAGUGGAAGUCAUGUUCCAUCUCCUUUAAAGUGGAAUCUCUACAUAAUUCACUUGUUAUUCUUCUUCAUUGGAGACGUGUCUCUUUUUCCUCAUUUAUUAAUUUAUUUAAUAAUUUAUUUAUAAUAUGAAUACAUUGUUAUUUAUUUUAUACUUUUGCAUAUAAUCCAAUACCAUUUUAAUUUGUUGCUCAAAUUGUUUCAGAUUUGGCCAUUGGCAACUCUUUCAAAUGGCUACUGUGCACAUAUGACAUAUCACCAUCCAGUUUUUAAAACCUUUUUUACUUUCUACCAUUAACAUGAUGCUCCAAGCUUAUCUUGUACAUUUCCUGCUGCAGUCCAAGAAUCAGCUGUUUAUCAAAAACCUCUGGUUUAUUUUAUUGGAGAACAGUAUUAGAAAGUAAUAUCUAGGUGCUAGAUGUGGUCAUUGCUGCUGAGGUGUAAUUUCUAUUUUGCUCCUUUUAGCUGACAGAGCAAGGAAACUGUCAAACUAAUUCUAAAAUGGUUGCACUAUUUUACAUUCCUAUCGCCAAUGACUAAGAGUUUCUGUUGUGCUGCAUCCUCAAAUAUCAGCAUUUGAUGUCAGAUGUUUGGAUUUUAGCCAUUUUAAUAGGUUUGUGCUAUCUCAUUGUUGUACUAAUUUGCAAUUUUAAAAUACAAAAGGUUUUAAACAUUUUUUUAAUAUCCUUAUCUGUACAUCUCCUUUGGUGAAGUGUCUGUUCAGAUAUUUUGCCUGUUUUUAAAUUGGGUUGUUUGUUUUAUUAUUGUGGAAAAUUCACCGUUCUUUGUAUAUUUUGAAAAUAAGGCCCCUAUCAAAUAUGCAUUUUACCAUAAUUUUAUCCCAGUCUAUGGCUUGUCUUUUCAUUCUCUUUACAUUGAUAUUUACAGAGAAGAAUGUUUAAAUUUUUAAUAAUAAAGUUCAACUUAUCAAUUUUUUCUAUCAUGGAGCAUACUUUUGGUUGUAUAUAAAAACUAUU
rnacentral:lncRNA from 10 species